rnacentral:rRNA from 1 species
AUUGAACGCUGGCGGCAUGCCUUACACAUGCAAGUCGAACGGUAACAGGUCUUCGGAUGCUGACGAGUGGCGAACGGGUGAGUAAUACAUCGGAACGUGCCCGAUCGUGGGGGAUAACGGAGCGAAAGCUUUGCUAAUACCGCAUACGAUCUACGGAUGAAAGCAGGGGACCGCAAGGCCUUGCGCGGACGGAGCGGCCGAUGGCAGAUUAGGUAGUUGGUGGGAUAAAAGCUUACCAAGCCGACGAUCUGUAGCUGGUCUGAGAGGACGACCAGCCACACUGGGACUGAGACACGGCCCAGACUCCUACGGGAGGCAGCAGUGGGGAAUUUUGGACAAUGGGCGAAAGCCUGAUCCAGCCAUGCCGCGUGCAGGAUGAAGGCCUUCGGGUUGUAAACUGCUUUUGUACGGAACGAAAAGACUCUUUCUAAUAAAGAGGGUCCAUGACGGUACCGUAAGAAUAAGCACCGGCUAACUACGUGCCAGCCGCCGCAGUAAGAC